rnacentral:other from 2 species
CAAAUCCUGAGGUGUUCGUUGAAGCUCAUAUCGUCUUGACCGAACAUAUCGUCUUUGGGAGUUGCUCAUUUUGGAAUGGCAAACAUGCCCUUUACUUAGUAGGGGACUUUUAAAGUUUCGAAUACGACACCCACCUGCUAGAGUGCGGGUUCAAGGCUAUUUGCAUUACUCGACGGCACAAUCGGGAUUUGU